AUGGACAGCACCAGCUGCCUCGCCGACGACACCAGCAGCGGCGGCGCCGCCUCCACGGACAAGCUCAAGGCGCUGGCCGCCGCCGCGGCGGCGGCCGCGGCGGGGCCGCUCGAGCGCAUGGGCAGCGGCGCCAGCGCGGUGCUCGACGCGGCCGAGCCGGGCUCCGAGGCCGACUCCGGCGGCCGCGCGGCGCCGGCGGGGAAGCUGCCGUCGUCCAGGUUCAAGGGCGUGGUGCCGCAGCCCAACGGGCGCUGGGGCGCGCAGAUCUACGAGCGGCACCAGCGCGUGUGGCUCGGCACCUUCGCGGGGGAGGCCGACGCCGCGCGCGCCUACGACGUGGCCGCGCAGCGCUUCCGCGGCCGCGACGCGGUCACCAACUUCCGCCCGCUCGCCGACGCCGACCCCGACGCCGCCGCCGAGCUCCGCUUCCUCGCCGCGCGCUCCAAGGCCGAGGUCGUCGACAUGCUGCGCAAGCACACUUACUUCGACGAGCUCGCCCAGAGCAAGCGCGCCUUCGCCGCCUCGGCCGCGCUCUCCGCGCCCACCACCUCGCACGGCCACGCCUCGCCUCCCACCCCGGCCGCCGCGCGCGAGCACCUGUUCGACAAGACGGUCACGCCCAGCGACGUGGGCAAGCUGAACCGGCUGGUGAUACCGAAGCAGCACGCGGAGAAGCACUUCCCGCUGCAGCUCCCGGCCGCGGGCGGCGAGAGCAAGGGCCUGCUCCUCAACUUCGAGGACGCCGCCGGCAAGGUGUGGCGGUUCCGCUACUCGUACUGGAACAGCAGCCAGAGCUACGUGCUCACCAAGGGCUGGAGCCGCUUCGUCAAGGAGAAGGGCCUCGGCGCCGGAGACGUCGUCGGGUUCUACCGCGCCGCCGCCGGCAGCACCGGCGAAGCCAGCAAGCUCUUCAUUGACUGCAAGCAGCGGCCGAGCACCAACAGCCCCGCCCCCGCAGACCCCGUGGACCAGUCGCCGGCGCCCGUGCACAAGGCCGUGAGAAUCUUCGGCGUCGACCUUCUGACGGCGCCGGCGUCGCCGGGGUGCAAGAGGGCCAGAGACAUGGUGAAGCCGCCGGCUCCGACAGCGGCGUUGAAGAAGCAAUGCAUAGAGCUGGCGCUAGCGUAG
rnacentral:rRNA from 1 species